AAUUCCAGAAUAAUUCAUGUGAUUUUACAUAGAAGUUGGAUACAUAUAAUGCGUUUAUACUGAAACACCUAAUUUAAGUCGUGUUAUAAAUAUUUGAUUAAUUCUUCAAUUCUAGAAAAAAUGUUUAGACUACUAAAUUAUUAUGAAUUGGUUAUGUUAGUUUGAACGCAGAGUUUGAUUAAAAUACAAAUUGGAUACAUGCACAUAUGUUAAUUACAAGAAAGAAAAUGAAAGAGUUAGUUAAUGCACAA
rnacentral:lncRNA from 1 species